rnacentral:tRNA from 1 species
GGCUCGUGGCGCAGUUUGGUUUAGCGCGCCUGCCUGUCACGCAGGAGGUCGCGGGUUCAAGUCCCGUCGGGCCCG